GAAAGAAAAAGAGUGGCGAACGGGUGAGUAACACGUGGGUAACCUGCCCAUCAGAAGGGGAUAACACUUGGAAACAGGUGCUAAUACCGUAUAACACUAUUUUCCGCAUGGAAGAAAGUUGAAAGGCGCUUUUGCGUCACUGAUGGAUGGACCCGCGGUGCAUUAGCUAGUUGGUGAGGUAACGGCUCACCAAGGCAACGAUGCAUAGCCGACCUGAGAGGGUGAUCGGCCACACUGGGACUGAGACACGGCCCAGACUCCUACGGGAGGCAGCAGUAGGGAAUCUUCGGCAAUGGACGAAAGUCUGACCGAGCAACGCCGCGUGAGUGAAGAAGGUUUUCGGAUCGUAAAACUCUGUUGUUAGAGAAGAACAAGGAUGAGAGUAAAAUGUUCAUCCCUUGACGGUAUCUAACCAGAAAGCCACGGCUAACUACGUGCCAGCAGCCGCGGUAAUACGUAGGUGGCAAGCGUUGUCCGGAUUUAUUGGGCGUAAAGCGAGCGCAGGCGGUUUCUUAAGUCUGAUGUGAAAGCCCCCGGCUCAACCGGGGAGGGUCAUUGGAAACUGGGA
rnacentral:rRNA from 1 species